rnacentral:rRNA from 1 species
UACCAGACUCCUACGGGAGGCAGCAGUGAGGAAUAUUGGUCAAUGGGCGGAAGCCUGAACCAGCCAAGUCGCGUGAGGGAUUAAGGCCCUGCGGGUCGUAAACCUCUUUUGCCGGGGAGCAGAGGUCCGGACGUGUCCGGGCCGGGAGAGUACCCGGAGAAAAAGCAUCGGCUAACUCCGUGCCAGCAGCCGCGGUAAUACGGAGGAUGCGAGCGUUAUCCGGAUUUAUUGGGUUUAAAGGGUGCGUAGGCGGGCAUUUAAGCCGGCGGUCAAAUGUCGGGGCUCAACCCCGGCCUGCCGUCGGAACUGCCGGGCUAGAGUGGGCGAGAAGUGCGCGGAAUGCGUGGUGUAGCGGUGAAAUGCAUAGAUAUCACGCAGAACUCCGAUUGCGAAGGCAGCGCACCGGCGCCCUACUGACGCUCAGGCACGAAAGCGUGGGUAUCGAACAGGAUUAGAUACCCUGGUAA